UGUUCAUGGUGUUAAUUUAGAUGUAGUUAGUUUGGUGUGGCAAUAUGGCGGCAUUGGAGGGGAGAUAUAUGUGUGUGUGUGUGUGUUUGGUACUUUGGGUGAUUGUGAAGGUGAUGAAAAGGUAGGGGAUAUGCCUGGCUCCCUGUAUGCCGCUCGCAUGGCUGCCAACCCAAUGAACUCGAUCUCGUUGUUGGCCGCUGCGUACGGCGUGCGAGGUGCCAAGCAUGGCCCUCUUCCCUUCUCUCUUUCUCUCUCUCUACAUCUCUCUCUUCUUUCUUGUUGCAUUGCAUGUUUUAUAUAUCCUUAGAAUGCUUGUUUUCUUUUCUUGUUAAGUAAUCAUUCACAUGGAUCUAGCUAGUGCAUGCACGAAUUUUGAGUAAAAAAAAACAAUCAGUGGAUAUGAACAUGACAGUGCAUAUAUAUAUACAGCAUUUACAUCAUUGCAUGCCCGAGCUAGUCUAAUUUUUGGAAUUUCUCUGAAGUCAGAUAGCUAGCCUUUGUAGAUUAAUUAUAUAUUACUGUGUGCAUUGCAUGCAUUUGCAUUUACUC
rnacentral:precursor_RNA from 1 species